rnacentral:rRNA from 1 species
AUUGAACGCUGGCGGCAGGCCUAACACAUGCAAGUCGAGCGAGCGGCGGACGGGUGAGUAAUGCCUGGGAAACUGCCUGAUUGAGGGGGAUAACUACUGGAAACGGUAGCUAAUACCGCAUACCAUCUGAUGUUCCCCGAUGGAGUUAGCUGGUAGGUGGGGUAACGUCUCACAUGGGCGACGAUCCCUAGCUGGUCUGAGAGGAUGACGAGCAACACGGGACUUGGACAACGGUCCAGACUCCAACGGGGGGCAGCAGUGGGGAAUAUUGGACAAUGGGCGCAAGCCUUAUGCAGACAGGCCGCGUGUGUGAAGAGGGCCUUGGGGUGGUAAGGCACUUUCAGCGGGGAGGCGUUACCCGAAGAGGAAGCACCGGCUAACUCCGUGCCAGCAGCCGCGGUAAUUC